rnacentral:rRNA from 1 species
AGUGAACGCUGGCGGUAGGCCUAACACAUGCAAGUCGAACGGCAGCACAGUAAGAGCUUGCUCUUACGGGUGGCGAGUGGCGGACGGGUGAGGAAUACAUCGGAAUCUACUUUUUCGUGGGGGAUAACGUAGGGAAACUUACGCUAAUACCGCAUACGACCUACGGGUGAAAGCAGGGGAUCUUCGGACCUUGCGCGAUUGAAUUAGCCGAUGUCGGAUUAGCUAGUUGGCGGGGUAAAGGCCCACCAAGGCGACGGUCCGUAGCUGGUCUGAGAGGAUGAUAGGCCGCACUAGAGCUGGAACAGGGUCCAGACGCCUACGGGAGGCAGCAGUGGGGAAUAUUGGACAAUGGGCGCAAGCAUGAUACAGCCAUACCGCGUGGGUGAAGAAGGCCUUCGGGUUGUAAAGCCCUUUUGUUGGGAAAGAAAAGCAGCAGGUUAAUACCCCGCUGUUCUGACGGUACCCAAAGAAUAAGCACCGGCUAACUACGUG